UACGUAGGGUGCGAGCGUUAAUCGGAAUUACUGGGCGUAAAGCGUGCGCAGGCGGUUUUGUAAGUCUGACGUGAAAUCCCCCGGGCUUAACCUGGGAAUUGCGUUGGAGACUGCAAGGCUGGAGUCUGGCAGAGGGGGGGUAGAAUUCCACGUGUAGCAGUGAAAUGCGUAGAGAUGUGGAGGAACACCGAUGGCGAAGGCAGCCCCCCUGGGUCAAGACUGACGCUCAUGCACGAAAGCGUGGGGAGCAAAC
rnacentral:rRNA from 1 species